UGCCUAGCAACUCCUAUCCCUACCUCUGUGUGGUACCGGCUGGAAACUACGAGCAACCUUAGGGAAGAUCGGGUAAUCAACCCCAGUGGGAACUUUGGUCAUAAGCUGACAGGGAAUCAACCCCAGUGGGAACUUUGGUCAUAAGCUGACAGGGUUGG
rnacentral:ribozyme from 1 species